rnacentral:rRNA from 1 species
AUUGAACGCUGGCGGCAGGCCUAACACAUGCAAGUCGAGCGAGCGUGGGACGGGUGUGUAACGUCUCGGAUAAUGCGUCAUGUGGGGGGUGAACUCCAGGAAACGGUAGCUAAUAUCCCACACACACAGAUGUGUGCCGAUGGGAUUAGCUAGUAGGUGGGGUAACGGCUCACAUGGGGGACGCUCCCCAGCUGGUCUGAGAGGAUGACCAGCAACACUGGAACUGAGACACGGUCCAGACGCCUACGGGAGGCAGCAGUGGGGAAUAUUGCACAAUGGGCGCAAGCCUGAUGCAGCCAUGCCGCGUGUGUGAAGAAGGCCUUCGGGUUGUAAAGCACUUUCAGCGGGGAGGCGUUACCCGCAGAAGAAGCACCGGCUAACUCCGUGCCAGCAGCCGCGGUAAUAC